UCCUGGUUAACCCAGGCAGUCUCAUUAGAGUCCCCAGCAUUACCUGUUGGCAACUAAUGAUAAGGGUUGCGCUCGUUGCGGGACUUAACCCAACACCUCACGGCACGAGCUGACGACAGCCAUGCAGCACCUGUGCAGAAGCUCCGAAGAGAAUUACUAUUUCUAGUAACGUCUUCUGCAUGUCAAGCCUAGGUAAGGUUCUUCGCGUUGCAUCGAAUUAAACCACAUGCUCCACUGCUUGUGCGGGUCCCCGUCAAUUCUUUUGAGUUUCACCCUUGCGAGCGUACUCCCCAGGCGGCACACUUAUCGCGUUAGCUACGGCACAGCUAGGGUUGAAUCCAGCUACACCAAGUGUGCAUCGUUUACGGCAAGGACUAC
rnacentral:misc_RNA from 1 species